CAUGGAGCUCCUCGCGUCGGGCUUCAUUGAGAACACCUGAGGCAUAUUCACUCACUCAUCACACCGCCGAUAUAAACCCCAUAUUCCCCCACACUCCGGCUCCUUUAUUGCAUGUUCCUGUGUGUUCAUAUUGCCUUAUGUGCGGUGUGCGUUUCCCCCUACGUGCAGUUCGACCCGGACUCUCGCGCUCGCGCUCUCGCUUCGCGUGGACUCUUUCCAGGCGCACCGUGGAUAUUACUUUCCUUUUUCCCGGAUUUCCUCAAUCGGAUUAUUCCUCAGACUCUGGACUAUUGUGGGCCACCGGAAUAAUCCUUUCACAGCAAAAAGAAUCUCCGUGAAUGAUGCCGGUUCGAAUCCCACCUCAGACACCGCUGAAAUCCCACAAUACUGCACAAAAAUACUGACGUGAAUAAAAAUACAUCACUUGUCACUCAUGUUAAUAUCUGUAUGAUUUGACAAAUUUUUCCAAUAAAGGGGCAUAAAAUGGA